rnacentral:rRNA from 1 species
GACGAACCGAGCGAACGUUGUUCGGAAUCACUGGGCUUAAAGGGCGCGUAGGCGGGCUAGCAAGUCCGGGGUGAAAUCUUUCGGCUUAACCGGAAAAGUGCCUUGGAUACUGCUGGUCUCGAGGGAGGUAGGGGUCUGUGGAACUUCGGGUGGAGCGGUGAAAUGCGUUGAUAUCCGAAGGAACGCCGGUGGCGAAAGCGACGGACUGGAUCUCUUCUGACGCUGAGGCGCGAAAGCCAGGGGAGCAAACGGG